rnacentral:snoRNA from 1 species
AUCCAUUAUAUUCCUCAGUCAGGGCUGAAGGCUAAGAUCAGCCCUGGAGGAGCAUUAUCAGAGUUCCCGCGAGGGGGCAGCCUUGUUUUCCUGCCUCUGACCUGU